rnacentral:piRNA from 1 species
UGAGAAUGAGGGCAGCUCAGCGUGCGGU